rnacentral:tRNA from 1 species
GAAAGACAAUUUAAUUUUAGAAAAAUUUUCAUUUACAUUGAAAUAAAAUUUGUGCAAUUCAAAUUAAAUUGA